AACCUGCCCUUGGGAGGGGAACAACAGCUGGAAACGGCUGCUAAUACCCCAUAGGCUGAGGAGCAAAAGGAGGAAUCCGCCCAAGGAGGGGCUCGCGUCUGAUUAGUUAGUUGGUGAGGCAAUGGCUUACCAAGGCGACGAUCAGUAGCUGGUCCGAGAGGAUGAUCAGCCACACUGGGACUGAGACACGGCCCAGACUCCUACGGGAGGCAGCAGUGGGGAAUUUUCCGCAAUGGGCGAAAGCCUGACGGAGCAAUGCCGCGUGAAGGCAGAAGGCCCACGGGUCAUGAACUUCUUUUCUCGGAGAAGA
rnacentral:rRNA from 1 species